rnacentral:lncRNA from 1 species
ACCCAAUGUUUCCAGACCGCAAGGUUUCAAAAGGAUUUUAGCCUGAAUUUAUAGACAUAAAUGUAACAAUUUUGUGUGUAUGUUUAGCAAGUGGAUUCUCAGAUCCCUCCCUUCCUCAACAUGAAAGCAUGUUCUAAAUUGAAGCUAUGCAAGGAAGAAAUUUAGAGCUCUGCAUUGUCUGUGUAGUAAUACAACAAAUUCAUCAUAAUUCACAGUGUAAACCUAUUUUUGCAAACUCAAAAUUAAUUUUCCAUCUUGGUUCUGACACAUCUAUUCAAAAACAUUAGGUGACAUUAAUAUCUUCAUAAAUAUUGUUAAACUUUUAAGAGAGUGGGGCAUGAAAUGUGAAAGUAAGCUGGCUAUAACCACAAGUUGAUUUUCUGCAUAAUCUUUGGGACCAGCAUUUAAUAAGAACCAACAAGUGUGUGUAUGUCCAUAUGCCUAUUAGAUUCAGAGGUUUCCAGGCUCACUACAAUCCUACAAUGUAUGCCAUAGAGCCAAAGCAAGUGUGCCAACUGUUAUGAAGGAGAGAUAUGGCAUCCAGGCCAACAAGUCCACAUGUAAAGCACAAUCCACAUCAUUCAGAAUAACAAUUUACCGGAAAGCCCAAUAAUAGAAUAUACAGCAUUCAAUAUGAGGGAUCGAUGACACCCGCUUAUACAAGUUCAAAUACAAAAAAGGAUUCUACCAUAUGGAUCUAUCCCUGGCUAUACUUAGGAAGUGAGGUGAGUACCAACUGUGCCUGUUCCACGCGUUCACCACCCCGGAUUACGAUCUCGAAUGGCUGUUUUCCGGUGGAUAUCGCAGUAAAAGGGAGCUUGCGUGUCAGAGAUAAUGGGCUAAUCUCCAUUGUUGAUGACGUCGUCCACCGUUCUAAUGAAAGGUGUCCAUGGCCUCGCUCACUCCCCCACUGAACCCCACCCUUGUUGACCUAAUUCUCUUUUUUGCACGAAAAUUGAUGUGGGUGCCCUACAAACUGAGUUUCCGGGGCUGUUACCACUAGUAGUUGUUACUAGAUCGAUACCCCACUUUGA